AACAGCCCAAACCCGGCACUCAAUUUUAUUUACAAGGAGAAGUACACUAUGUAUAUGGUGUGAAUCUUUGUGAAUAGAAUUGAGUGCCGGGGGUUGCGGACACAGCAUAAGGUAAGUGAGAUGGAUAGUUGAAUGGUCUGGAAAGUCCAACCACAGAAGGUGAAAGUCCUGUAGACGAAAUCCAGAUUGCUUGCAGCUGUGCUCCAGAGUACCAUGGGACACGGGGAAUCCUGUGGGAAGCAGGGAGGACCACCUCCCAAGGCUAAAUACUAACUGGUGACCGAUAGCGGAUAGUACCGUGAGGGAAAGGUGAAAAGAACCCCGGGAGGGGAGUGAAAUAGAACCUGAAACCCUAUGCCUACAAGCAGUGGGAGCUCUAUUAGAAAGGGUGACCGCGUACUUUUUGUAGAACGGGCCAGCGAGUUAUGGUAUGGGGCAAGGUUAAGUGCUUAAGGCACGGAGCCGUAGGGAAACCGAGUCUUAAGAGGGCGAUAAGUUCCAUGCCAUAGACCCGAAACCGGGUGACCUACCCAUGGGCAGAGUGAAGUUUUGGUAAAACAAAAUGGAGGCUCGAACCCGUUAGCGUUUAAAAGCUAUGGGAUGACCUGUGGGUAGGGGUGAAAAGCCAAUCGAACUCGGAGAUAGCUGGUUCUCCUCGAAAUAGCUUUAGGGCUAGCCUCGAGGGAAGUGAUAUGGAGGUAGAGCACUGAAUGGUCUAGGGGCACAUGAGUGUUACCAAAACCUAUCAAACUCCGAAUGCCAUAAUCACGAUACUCGGGAGUCAGACUACGGGGGAUAAGCUUCGUAGUCGAGAGGGAAAGAGCCCAGACCACCAGCUAAGGUCCCUAAAUCCAAAUUAAGUGGCAAAGGAGGUAGGGUUACAGAGACAACCAGGAUGUUGGCUUAGAAGCAGCCAUACAUUUAAAGAGUGCGUAAUAGCUCACUGGUCGAGUGACUCUGCGCCGAAGAUUACCGGGGCUAAAUUUGGUACCGAAGCUGUGGUCUAGCACUCAACAAGAUGAGUGCUAGAGGUAGAGGAGCGUUCUGUACGGGCGGAAGCCAUACUGUAAGGAGUGGUGGACUGUACAGAAGUGAGAAUGCUGGCAUGAGUAGCGAGAAGGUAAGUGAGAAUCUUACCCGUCGAAAGCCUAAGGUUUCCUGAGGAAGGCUCGUCCACUCAGGGUUAGUCGGGACCUAAGCCGAGGUUGAAGAAACGUAGGCGAUGGACAACAGGUUGAGAUUCCUGUACUAUCGAAGAGCGUUAGAGAGAAGGGGUGACGCAGGAGGAUAGGUUGAGCGCACGGUUGGUAGAGUGCGUCUAAGCACGUAGGGAGCCGGGAUAGGCAAAUCCGUUCCGGCAAUUCUGAAAUGCGAUGGGGAGCGAAAAAUAAGUAGCGAAGCAACCGACUCCAUACUGCCAAGAAAAGCCUCUAUCGAGCUUGGAGAUACCCGUACCGCAAACCGACACAGGUAGGCGAGGAGAGAAUCCUAAGACGCGCGGAAGAACCUUUGUUAAGGAACUAGGCAAAAUGGCCUCGUAACUUCGGGAGAAGGGGCGCCGGGAGAGAUCUCGGCCGCAGUGAAUAGGCCCAAGCGACUGUUUACCAAAAACACAAGUCUCUGCUAAGUCGAAAGACGAAGUAUAGGGGCUGACACCUGCCCGGUGCUGGAAGGUUAAGGGGAAGGGUUAGCGAAAGCGAAGCUCUGAACUUAAGCCCCAGUAAACGGCGGCCGUAACUAUAACGGUCCUAAGGUAGCGAAAUUCCUUGUCGGGUAAGUUCCGACCCGCACGAAAGGUGUAACGACUUGGGCACUGUCUCAACAAAGGAUCCGGUGAAAUUGUAGUACUCGUGAAGAUGCGAGUUACCCGCGAUAGGACGGAAAGACCCCGUGGAGCUUUACUGCAGGCUGACAUUGGAUUUUGGUAUUGCAUGUACAGGAUAGGUGGGAGACAGAGAAGCAUGGGCGCCAGCCUAUGUGGAGUCGGCCUUGGGAUACCACUCUUGCAAUGCUGAAGUUCUAACCAGAGCCUUUGAAGCAAGGCAUGGGACACUGUCAGUUGGGCAGUUUGACUGGGGCGGUCGCCUCCUAAAAGGUAACGGAGGCGUUCAAAGGUUCCCUCAGCACGGUCGGAAAUCGUGCGGAGAGUGCAAAGGCAGAAGGGAGCUUGACUGCGACACAGACAGGUGGAGCAGGAACGAAAGUUGGACUUAGUGAUCCGGUGGUUCCGAGUGGAAGGGCCAUCGCUCAACGGAUAAAAGCUACCCCGGGGAUAACAGGCUUAUCUCCCCCAAGAGU
rnacentral:rRNA from 1 species